rnacentral:rRNA from 1 species
AACGAACGCUGGCGGCAUGCCUAACACAUGCAAGUCGAACGAGACCGUCGGGGCUAGUGGCGCAGGGGGGCGGAAGGAGGGGGAAGCUGCACGUAGGUUCGGAAUAACGGACCGAAAGGGGUGCUAAUACCGGAGAAGGUAAUCGGAGAAACGAGUUAUCGCCUUUGGAUGGGCGCGGGUUGGAUUAGGUAGUUGGUAGGGGAAAAGCCGACCAAGGCGACGAUCCAGCGCUGGUCUGAGAGGAGGAUCAGCCCCACUGGGACGGCGACCCGGCCCAGUCUCCUACGGGCGGCAGCAGUGGGGAAUAUUCGACGCUGGGCCCAAGCCUGAUCCCGCCCUGCCGCGUGAGUGAUGAAGGCCUUAGGGUUCUACAUCUCUUUUACCCGGGAUGAUAAUGCCAGUACCGGGAGAAUAAGCUCCGGCUAACUCCGUG